CUCAGGAGCCUGGGACAUAAUUGCCCCUUAAAAUGAACACGGACACCCCGAACCACAAUGUUUAUGUUAGGACUUGAUAUUCGUAAAAAACAGUAUAGAACGUAUUGUUAUCGUCUGGAUUUAUGAAAUAAAAAAGCUUUUACUUGUUUAUACAUAACAUAACAUGGUACCAGGAGUGAAUUAAGCAGUUAUUUAUCGAUUGGAAAGUCUAUUGUGCA